UCCAGGCCGCUCACCUUAAGGACGCAGAGUGGCGUCAGAUUUGGAGAAGCGCCGGGGACCGUGGAGGAAGUCAUCGGCCUGGAUUUCUUUGGAUUUGCAGAUAGGGUUCCAGCAGAACUGGAAGGUGAAUUGCUGUGUUGUGGACAUUCCUCAAGAUCAAAUGUACAUAAAACCUGUCUGUAUCUACGUCUCUCCUUAGGGUGUCCAUUUGUGUGCAUUAUUUGCUUUCUGUUUUGUUCUUUGAACCCAUUGUAACACAAUAGACUUAAAAUUAUUUACUAAAUUUGCUUUGAUUAAGGUAUUGCUGUUUAUAUUUGGGUCAUGAAAGAGUAACGUGUAAUUAGUUGCAACAGUUACAAGGGCAAGUUAGCGUCCUUACCUUUUUGCUGAGAUGUCUGAAAUAUUUACAGUUUCUUGUGAAAUCAAGCUGUGCCUGCACACUGUCCUGACACUGCAGUCACAAGUCACCAGAUAAUUUUAUACUGCCAGAGCCUCAUUCUCAGUCUUUGAUCCCUCUUUAUUUGCUGCUGUUGAUCACAGUAUCCUUCUUGAGACUCUUUUCUCACUUAUUUCUCUCAUCAUCUCUCUAAAAAUUAUCUCCCUGACCUCUGCUUGGGCUUUUCUUUCUCUCCCCAUCUUCUAGUGGGAUGGUAUGCCUCUUUGUGUAGAAUGCUUUGAGACAGAAAGCCUGAUUUAGUUCCACUAUGUGGGCACCUUCCAAAUAAUAAAACAACUGGAGGAGUGAAUGCUUA
rnacentral:lncRNA from 1 species